rnacentral:tRNA from 1 species
GAGGGUAUAGCUCUGUGGUAGAGCACAUGCUUAACACAUAAGAGGUCCUGGGUUCUAUCCCCAGUACCUCCA